rnacentral:rRNA from 1 species
CCUACGGGUUGCACCAGUGGGGAAUAUUGCACAAUGUGCGCAAGCCUGAUGCAGCCAUGCCGCGUGUAUGAAGAAGGCCUUCGGGUUGUAAAGUACUUUCAGCGGGGGGGAAGGCGAUAAGGUUAAUAACCUUGUCGAUUGACAUUACCCGCAGAAGAAGCACCGGCUAACUCCGUGCCAGCAGCCGCGGUAAUACGGAGGGUGCAAGCGUUAAGCGGAAUUACUGGGCGUAAAGCGCACGCAGGCGGUCUGUCAAGUCGGAUGUGAAAUCCCCGAGCUCAACCUGGGAACUGCAUUCGAAACUGGCAGGCUAGAGUCUUGUAGAGGGGGGUAGAAUUCCAGGUGUAGCGGUGAAAUGCGUAGAGAUCUGGAGGAAUACCGGUGGCGAAGGCGGCCCCCUGGACAAAGACUGACGCUCAGGUGCGAAAGCGUGGGGAGCAAACAGGAUUAGAUACCCGAGUAGUC